rnacentral:rRNA from 1 species
CGAAGGGGGCUAGCGUUGCUCGGAAUCACUGGGCGUAAAGGGUGCGUAGGCGGGUCUUUAAGUCAGGGGUGAAAUCCUGGAGCUCAACUCCAGAACUGCCUUUGAUACUGAGGAUCUUGAGUUCGGGAGAGGUGAGUGGAACUGCGAGUGUAGAGGUGAAAUUCGUAGAUAUUCGCAAGAACAUCAGUGGCGAAGGCGGCUCACUGGCCCGAUACUGACGCUGAGGCACGAAAGCGUGGGGAGCAAACAGG